rnacentral:rRNA from 1 species
GCCUCUUGAUUAAACCAUAAGAGGUCCAGCCUGCCCAGUGACAUUGUUCAACGGCCGCGGUAUCCUAACCGUGCGAAGGUAGCGUAAUCACUUGUCCUUUAAAUGAAGACUAGUAUGAAUGGCCCCACGAAAGCUAUACUGUCUCCUUUUUCUAAUCAGUUAAACUAAUCUCCCCGUGAAGAAGCGGGGAUAAACAUAUAAGACGAGAAGACCCUAUGGAGCUUUAAACAACUGAAACACUUGUAUAUCUCCCUUCACCUACCCACAUUUAACUCCACAUCUUGUUUCUAGUUUUAGGUUGGGGUGACCACGGAGAAAAAACUAACCUCCACGAUGAAAGAGACAUCUCUAAACAAAAAGCUACAUCUUUAUGUAUUAAUACAUUAACCUUUAUUGACCCA